rnacentral:rRNA from 1 species
CAGUCGCCGCGGUAAUACGAAGGGUGCAAGCGUUAAUCGGAAUUACUGGGCGUAAAGCGUGCGUAGGCGGUGAGUUAAGUCUGCUGUGAAAUCCCCGGGCUCAACCUGGGAAUGGCAGUGGAUACUGGCAAGCUAGAGUGUGUCAGAGGAUGGUGGAAUUCCCGGUGUAGCGGUGAAAUGCGUAGAGAUCGGGAGGAACAACAGUGGCGAAGGCGGCCAUCUGGGACAACACUGACGCUGAGGCACGAAAGCGUGGGGAGCAAACAGGAUUAGAUACCCCCGUAGUCCCUGUCUCUUAUAC